rnacentral:rRNA from 1 species
CCCUAAUUCAUAAUAUAUAUAUAUAUAAAUAUAUAUAUAUAUUAAUUUAUAUUAAUAGCUGUACCAUACAUUAUAUAUAUAUAUUAAAAUUAUAUAUAAUUAUUAUAAUUGAUUAUUGAAAGCUAUACUAUUAUAUAUUUCAUAGAAAACCAGCUAUCUGCUAAUCAGUUAAGUCUUUCACUAUCAUACCACAAUUAUUCAGAUGAUAUUGCAACAUCAACCUGUUCGAUCAUUUAUAUAUCUUAUCAUGGUAAGAUCAUUAGCUUUCGGGUCAAUAUAUAUAUACUUAUUAAAUCAUAUUAAUUAUAAAUUAUUUUUGCAUAUAUAUAUUACUUGCUGACCCAUUAUACAAAAGGUACAUCAUUAAUAAUGUUAUAUUAUUAUUUAUGAUUGCUUAUAAAAUAACCAUUUUAUUAUACUUUCCCUUUCGGUACUUUUUAUAUUUAUUAAUAGUAUUUAGUCUUAGAUAUUGUAUACCCUUUAUUAUUAUUCUUAUAUAUUAUACAUAAUACUUAUAGACUAUAUUAUUUUCUCUCACCGAUACUUAUAAUAUCUCUGUUGAUUUUUAUUCCUUUA